rnacentral:rRNA from 1 species
UACGUAGGCAGCAAGCGUUGUUCGGAAUUACUGGGCGUAAAGAGUGUGUAGGCGGUUUUCUAAGUUUGGUGUGAAAUCUCCCGGCUUAACUGGGAGGGUGCGCCGAAAACUGGAAGGCUUGAGUGCCGGAGAGGAUGAGCGGAAUUCCUGGUGUAGCGGUGAAAUGCGUAGAUAUCAGGAGGAACACCUGCGGUGUAGACGGCUAUCUGGACGGCCACUGACGCUGAGACACGAAAGCGUGGGUAGCAAACAGG